UACGUAGGGUGCGAGCGUUGUCCGGAAUUAUUGGGCGUAAAGAGCUCGUAGGCGGCUUGUCGCGUCGGAUGUGAAAGCCCGGGGCUUAACUCCGGGUCUGCAUUCGAUACGGGCAGGCUAGAGUUCGGUAGGGGAGAUCGGAAUUCCUGGUGUAGCGGCGAAAUGCGCAGAUAUCAGGAGGAACACCGGUGGCGAAGGCGGAUCUCUGGGCCGAUACUGACGCUGAGGAGCGAAAGUGUGGGGAGCGAACAGG
rnacentral:rRNA from 1 species